rnacentral:RNase_P_RNA from 1 species
UACAGCGAGUAGUCGCUGCCCUCUAAAGGGCAGAGGAAAGUCGAGACACGCACACCUGCUGGUCAACAGCAGGUGUAAAAAGGUGCCCGGUGUAAGCCGGGGCAGGGCGACCUGACGACGGUGAAAGUGACUCCCUGAGUCAUUAGUAGCCCUAAAGUGCCACAGAAACUAGGUCACCGGGCGACCGGUGAGUGCAAGGGUAAACUCCAUCUGCGUGCAACCCAAAUAGGCGGGGACAAUCGUCACCCGCGGGUAGGGGCACCUCGCAAUGCGAGGAAGGAGAAUAUAUCUCCUUAGAUAGAUGACUACUAAAACAGAAUCUCGCUUACGGCU